ACCGGUCCGUUGUAGGAAUUAGGAA
rnacentral:miRNA from 1 species